rnacentral:tRNA from 1 species
GCUGGCCUAGCUCAGUCGGUAGAGCAGCUGUUUUGUAAACAGCAGGUCGUAGGUUCAAGUCCUAUGGCCAGCUCCA